GUCUCUGUGGGGCGAUCGGUUAGCGCGUUCGGCUGUUAACCGAAAGGUUGGUGGUUCAAGCCCACCCAGGGACG
rfam:Nematostella vectensis strain CH2 x CH6 NEMVEscaffold_142_Cont15279, whole genome shotgun sequence.